UACGUAGGGCGCAAGCGUUAUCCGGAAUUAUUGGGCGUAAAGAGCUCGUAGGCGGUUUGUCGCGUCUGCCGUGAAAGUCCGGGGCUCAACUCCGGAUCUGCGGUGGGUACGGGCAGACUAGAGUGCAGUAGGGGAGACUGGAAUUCCUGGUGUAGCGGUGAAAUGCGCAGAUAUCAGGAGGAACACCGAUGGCGAAGGCAGGUCUCUGGGCUGUAACUGACGCUGAGGAGCGAAAAGCAUGGGGGAGCGAACAGG
rnacentral:rRNA from 1 species